GUUUAGUUGCUAACGCGUGAAGGCGAGCACUCUAGACGAACUGCCGUUGACAAAACGGAGGAAGGUGGGAUGACGUCAAAUCAUCAUGCCCCUUAUGUUCUGGGCUACACACGUGCUACAAUGGCCGGUACAGACGGACGCAAAGCCGCGAGGUGGAGCAAAUCCUAAAAAGCCGGUCUCAGUUCGGAUUGCAGGCUGCAAUUCGCCUGCAUGAAGUCGGAAUCGCUAGUAAUCGCAGGUCAGCAUACUGCGGUGAAUACGUUCCCGGGCCUU
rnacentral:rRNA from 1 species